rnacentral:tRNA from 1 species
AGGGUUACAUAAUUAUAUGGCUAUAGCUGCAAUCGACGGCGCCUCCCGCUAAGGUAAAUCUUUUAUAGGUAAGA